GUAACAGGAAGCAGCUUGCUGCUUUGCUGACGAGUGGCGGACGGGUGAGUAAUGUCUGGGAAACUGCCUGAUGGAGGGGGAUAACUACUGGAAACGGUGGCUAAUACCGCAUAACGUCGCAAGACCAAAGAGGGGGACCUUCGGGCCUCUUGCCAUCAGAUGUGCCCAGAUGGGAUUAGCUUGUUGGUGAGGUAACGGCUCACCAAGGCGACGAUCCCUAGCUGGUCUGAGAGGAUGACCAGCCACACUGGAACUGAGACACGGUCCAGACUCCUACGGGAGGCAGCAGUGGGGAAUAUUGCACAAUGGGCGCAAGCCUGAUGCAGCCAUGCCGCGUGUAUGAAGAAGGCCUUCGGGUUGUAAAGUACUUUCAGCGGGGAGGAAGGUGUUGUGGUUAAUAACCGCAGCAAUUGACGUUACCCGCAGAAGAAGCACCGGCUAACUCCGUGCCAGCAGCCGCGGUAAUACGGAGGGUGCAAGCGUUAAUCGGAAUUACUGGGCGUAAAGCGCACGCAGGCGGUCUGUCAAGUCGGAUGUGAAAUCCCCGGGCUCAACCUGGGAACUGCAUUCGAAACUGGCAGGCUUGAGUCUUGUAGAGGGGGGUAGAAUUCCAGGUGUAGCGGUGAAAUGCGUAGAGAUCUGGAGGAAUACCGGUGGCGAAGGCGGCCCCCUGGACAAAGACUGACGCUCAGGUGCGAAAGCGUGGGGAGCAAACAGGAUUAGAUACCCUGGUAGUCCACGCCGUAAACGAUGUCUACUUGGAGGUUGUGCCCUUGAGGCGUGGCUUCCGGAGCUAACGCGUUAAGUAGACCGCCUGGGGAGUACGGCCGCAAGGUUAAAACUCAAAUGAAUUGACGGGGGCCCGCACAAGCGGUGGAGCAUGUGGUUUAAUUCGAUGCAACGCGAAGAACCUUACCUGGUCUUGACAUCCACAGAAGAAUCCAGAGAUGGAUUUGUGCCUUCGGGAACUGUGAGACAGGUGCUGCAUGGCUGUCGUCAGCUCGUGUUGUGAAAUGUUGGGUUAAGUCCCGCAACGAGCGCAACCCUUAUCCUUUGUUGCCAGCGGUUAGGCCGGGAACUCAAAGGAGACUGCCAGUGAUAAACUGGAGGAAGGUGGGGAUGACGUCAAGUCAUCAUGGCCCUUACGACCAGGGCUACACACGUGCUACAAUGGCGCAUACAAAGAGAAGCGACCUCGCGAGAGCAAGCGGACCUCAUAAAGUGCGUCGUAGUCCGGAUUGGAGUCUGCAACUCGACUCCAUGAAGUCGGAAUCGCUAGUAAUCGUGGAUCAGAAUGCCACGGUGAAUACGUUCCCGGGCCUUGUACACACCGCCCGUCACACCAUGGGAGUGGGUUGCAAAAGAAGUAGGUAGCUUAACCUUCGGGAGGGCGCUUACCACUUUGUGAUUCAUGACUGGGGUGAAGUCGUAACAAGGUAACCGUAGGGGAACCUGCGGUUGGAUCACCUCCUUACCUUAAAGAA
rnacentral:rRNA from 2 species